rnacentral:rRNA from 1 species
UUCGGUCCCUAUCUGCCGUGGGCGCUGGAGAACUGAGGGGGGCUGCUCCUAGUACGAGAGGACCGGAGUGGACGCAUCACUGGUGUUCGGGUUGUCAUGCCAAUGGCACUGCCCGGUAGCUAAAUGCGGAAGAGAUAAGUGCUGAAAGCAUCUAAGCACGAAACUUGCCCCGAGAUGAGUUCUCCCUGACUCCUUGAGAGUCCUGAAGGAACGUUGAAGACGACGACGUUGAUAGGCCGGGUGUGUAAGCGCAGCGAUGCGUUGAGCUAACCGGUACUAAUGAACCGUGAGGCUUAACCUUACAACGCCGAAG